AAAAUGGGAUAGGAAAUGAGAGAAGGAGAAAAACGGACCUCCACAACGGCGUGAGCGAGAGUACGACGGCGUGAACGAGAGUACGGUGGUGAAGGCCGUUAUUGGCGGUGGCAAGUGGUUGUUGGAAUGGUGGAGGUUGCGCCGGUGAGGAUGGUAUUACAGUGGAUGGAAAUCGGGUUAGGUUUUUCUGAAUCGAGAGAGGAUCGUGGGAGAUCGUCGUGGUCGUGGCUUGAAGAUGGAACGCAGAACGACGAUGCUCGAGUCGAAAGAUGA
rnacentral:lncRNA from 1 species